UACGUAGGGUGCAAGCGUUGUCCGGAAUUAUUGGGCGUAAAGAGCUCGUAGGCGGUCUGUCGCGUCGGCUGUGAAAACCCGGGGCUCAACCCGGGCCUGCAGUCGAUACGGGCAGACUAGAGUGCGGUAGGGAGACUGGAAUUCCUGGUGGUAGCGGUGAAAUGCGCAGAUAUCAGGAGGAACACCGGUGGCGAAGGCGGGUCUCUGGGCCGUAACUGACGCUGAGGAGCGAAAGCUGGGAGCGAACAGG
rnacentral:rRNA from 1 species